rnacentral:rRNA from 1 species
CCCGACUGCUAUCGGAGUGGGACUAAGCCAUGCGGGUCAACAUAGCAAUAUGUGGCAUACGGCUCAGUAACACGUAGUCAACAUGCCCAGGGGACGUGGAUAACCUCGGGAAACUGAGGAUAAACCGCGAUAGGUCAUCACUUCUGGAAUGGGUAAUGACUUAAAUCUAUAUGGCCCCUGGAUUGGACUGCGGCCGAUCAGGCUGUUGGUGAGGUAAUGGCCCACCAAACCUGUAACCGGUACGGGCUCUGAGAGGAGGAGCCCGGAGAUGGGCACUGAGACAAGGGCCCAGGCCCUAUGGGGCGCAGCAGGCGCGAAACCUCUGCAAUAGGCGAAAGCCUGACAGGGUUACUCUGAGUGAUUUCCGUUAAGGAGAUCUUUUGGCACCUCUAAAAAUGGUGCAGAAUAAGGGGUGGGCAAGUCUGGUGUCAGCCGCCGCGGUAAUACCAGCACCCCGAGUGGUCGGGACGAUUAUUGGGCCUAAAGCAUCCGUAGCCGGUUUUACAAGUCCUCCGUUAAAUCCAACUGCUUAACAGAUGGGCCGCGGAGGAUACUAUAAGACUAGGAGGCAGGAGAGGCAAGCGGUACUCAGUGGGUAGGGGUAAAAUCCGUUGAUCCAUUGAAGACCACCAGUGGCGAAGGCGGCUUGCCAGAAUGCGCUCGACGGUGAGGGAUGAAAGCUGGGGGAGCAAACCGGAUUAGAUACCCGGGUAGUCCCAGCUGUAAACGAUGCAGACUCGGUGAUGGACUAGCUUAAUGCUGGUCCAGUGCCGCAGGGAAGCCGUUAAGUCUGCCGCCUGGGUAGUACGGUCGCAAGACUGAAACUUAAAGGAAUUGACGGGGGGAGCACCACAAGGGGUGAAGCCUGCGGUUC